GAGNUUUUGCGCAUGCCGGGCAACCCUGGCGCACAACGCCGCGUGAGUGAAGAAGGCCUUCGGGUCGUAAAGCUCUGUCAAGUGGAAAAAACGAUUUGCGGUAAAUAGCCGCGAAUUUUGAUGGUACCACUAGAGGAAGCACCGGCUAACUCCGUGCCAGCAGCCGCGGUAAUACGGAGGGUGCAAGCGUUGUUCGGAAUUACUGGGCGUAAAGCGUGCGCAGGCGGCUCUAUAAGACAGAUGUGAAAUCCCCGGGCUUAACCUGGGAACUGCGUUUGUGACUGUAGGGCUUGAGUGCGGCAGAGGGGGGUGGAAUUCCACGUGUAGCAGUGAAAUGCGUAGAGAUGUGGAGGAACACCGAUGGCGAAGGCAGCCCCCUGGGUCGACACUGACGCUCAUGCACGAAAGCGUGGGGAGCAAACAGGAUUAGAUACCCUGGUAGUCCACGCCCUAAACGAUGCGAACUAGGUGUUGGGGAAGGAGACUUCUUUAGUACCGUAGCUAACGCGUGAAGUUCGCCGCCUGGGGAGUACGGUCGCAAGAUUAAAACUCAAAAGAAUUGACGGA
rnacentral:rRNA from 1 species